rnacentral:lncRNA from 1 species
AUAGCUUACAUCAUCAUCAUCUGCUACCAUUGCCUGGCAGGCUCGAGCCAAGGAUUCAUCCAGCUAUCCAAUCUACACAAAUAUAUGCUGAGCUGCUCUUCUGUACUAGACAAAGAACAAAGCGGCCCUAGAGACGCAAUGGGGCACAAACAUCUCGUAUCAUUGGUCUUCAGUAUAGGAAUAGCAUAACCACAGAGUCACAGACCACUUUCAAUGGCCAAGUUCUGUGAAAAGGAAGAAUGCAGCCAUGCGAGGCCACAAGGAGGCUCUUCCUGGGGUAGUGAUACCAACAGAAUGAUGCAUUUGAUCAGAAACAUGAAGAUGAGUUACCUAAAGGGGAGAUUUUAAAAAAACCAAAAACAUUCUCAUUGAAAGGGACACAGGCAAGGCCACGCAGCAAGGCAAGAAGAAAACCAGGAAGGCUGGGUGGCAAAUGAGAGAGGCAACUGACAGCAGUGAAGACCGCCUCGUGACAGAUCUUUCACAGCUUUGCAAACUGACCUUAAAUAAUUCGUCUUCAGAACAAGAGACCAAGAGGAGGCUGUUUCUGUAGAAGCCAUACUGACACAUGGUAAAGGAAUAAGCCAGCAAUUCUGCCUCAAGGACUGCAGGGAAGCGCACAACCCCUUUGACCUGGGUAUUAAGAACUUGGUGGUACUGAAUAUUAUCUAAAAAUAGUAAUGUAAUCUCAAACUCAGUAAUAUUAACCAGAGUUAAGAUUUUCUUUUAAAGAUCCAGGACUUCCCCAGAGUGUUUAUUUUCAAUCAGACCAAAAACCAUUGUUCCAAGAACCAUUGUUCUUGAAGACAGGACACACAAGAUAUGCUAUCUUAACAAACAC